rnacentral:rRNA from 1 species
GAUGAACGCUGGCGGCGUGCCUAAUACAUGCAAGUCGAGCGAACGGACGAGAAGCUUGCUCCUCUGAUGUUAGCGGCGGACGGGUGAGUAACACGUGGAUAACCUACCUAUAAGACUGGGAUAACUUCGGGAAACCGUAGCUAAUACCGGAUAAUAUUUUGAACCGCAUGGUUCAAAAGUGAAAGGCGGUCUUGCUGUCACUUAUAGAUGGAUCCGCGCUGCAUUAGCUAGUUGGUAAGGUAACGGCUUACCAAGGCAACGAUGCAUAGCCGACCUGAGAGGGUGAUCGGCCACACUGGAACUGAGACACGGUCCAGACUCCUACGGGAGGCAGCAGUAGGGAAUCUUCCGCAAUGGGCGAAAGCCUGACGGAGCAACGCCGCGUGAGUGAUGAAGGUCUUCGGAUCGUAAAACUCUGUUAUUAGGGAAGAACAUAUGUGUAAGUAACUGUGCACAUCUUGACGGUACCUAAUCAGAAAGCCACGGCUAACUACGUG